AGAGUAGAGAAGCCAACUUCAAAACAAGAUAAAGCACUCGCGCUGCUCAAAUCCAAGCUCCUGGCGUGGAGAGCUGGCUGCAUGACUGCUCAUUCAACAAGCGCGCUUUAGACGCUACAGAGCUUGAUGGAGGAAGGAGGAUAUGGAAGUGGGCUUGCUUUUGUGCUUCCGAGAAAAUAGCGUCAAGUGAAGGGGGGGAGAUACGAGAGUCCCGUUUUUGCUGCUCAGUGUGGCAAUGUAAACCACAUGUGUUGACGCCAACUGCGAGGUCAUGGAGAGCUUUCUCACCGCCAUCUUUUAAGCGCGAUCGAUUUAUCUUCCACUUGUGCCGAGCCUGUUGCCUUGUGAUUUUAUCAACUUGUUUCAAAAGCUCUACUCUGGAUGCACCUCGUGGUCUCUGAUAUAGCACCGGUACUGGAAAUGUAGACGACAAUUCUAGCUUCAAGCCACACAGGCGUCCUCAAAUGAUUCGUUUCGCCGCACAUCUGGUUCUGCGGAAGGAUUGAAGGACAAUACGCGGACAGGCUUUAAUUGGCUGGAGAUUGAAUCCUGAGCACGUAUGAUCGAUUUCACUUCCACUUAUUGUUUAUGUUAUUCUUUUAGGUACGUGAGUUUUGUAUUCACGCAACACAAGGAAGAGCUCGUUGGCCCUCAUCCCUCUCAGAUCUUUACGUGGAUAUGAUGGAGCUACGGCAGCCUCCCGUUGUAUGGCAGAAUUCCAACAGCGUUUGGUUUUCCGAGAGAUCUCGCUAACGCCACUAUGGUGUAGUGUUGAGAUUUCGGAAGGAGAAAGCAGAGCCAUUAAAAAAAGAACGUUGCUGCCUGUUUUUGUUUUUUGUUUUUUUUUUUCCCGGGACUUCGUUUUUUCAGCAAGAAUACUUUUCUUGUGACACACAUUAUCGAAGCUGGCUAUCAACAAUUGAGAACUGCAUUUCACCUGAAGAAAGAGCAAGGUCCUUUGCUACUGCAAAACAAGCUCUUGACACAGCUAUUGCUUUUCUUCACAAUUUUCGUUUUCAGAUAGCGAAUGAAAGUGGCUUCUCACCAACGAUGAAGCCUUCCAAUCCGUGGAACUAUUUUCCACUGUCGUUUUAUGGAGAUCAUCGGAUCCUUGAUUUGCUCCAGAUCCUACAGUUUGCACUGCUCCGAACAGCGCAUUGCAUUUUUGCUCGGGAGAGCUGGCUUCCAUUCAACGCAACUUAACGGUGAAUGUGGCUGUCAAUCCUCAGAACAAUAUGUUACUGGAUAUAGAGCUCAAAUGUGCGGCUCUUGAAGUGGAAGGCACUGAAUCACUUGUAACAAGUGAUGGUGGAUUUUUGUCAUUAAAGGUUUACAUCAGGAUUAAUUUCUUCUCUUUUUCCUUUUGUUGCAGGAGAGCUUCCACAUUUUCAUCCUGAAGUUUUUCGAAUGGAUGCGUUUUCACUCGGAUGGUGUACGCCGGGAUGCUCCAUUCGUGGCGUAUUUGCCGUCGUUGCUGCUUUCCAGAACUUGUGCUACGAUGCAUGGAGAUUCGUGGCUGGCUUCCGGUCUUGAAAUGACAGCAAGUGAUAAUCCUGACUGGUUGCGUCGGGAGCUCUUCAGGGACUGUUUAGCGGCAGUCAGCUAGAGGUUUGGGGAGCAAUUUGGUGAAAGUACCGCGGAAAUACUCAUGGAGCUCCUCGUCCUUAUGCCUCUCAUCUAGCUGGUGCGGAUCUUUACGUGCAUAUGAUGGAGCACGGCAGAAUGACAGCAAUGCCAUUCUACGUCCGUGACGGCUAUUUGGUAAUGCGAUGCUUUUCUAGUUUCUUUGAGAAGUCUCGUGAACUCAAAACAUCCGUUGAUUGAAAGCUGAAGAUACAAAGAGAGUGGAACUUACAGACAGGACAUUCUGUGCAAUAAAUGGACUUUACUUCUCGAGCAGGUCUACCAGAUUCGGAUACAGUUGCGUGCUCUCUUGACAAACACAGAGCUUAAAGAAGUAGUAGACUUACGAAACUGUACUUCUGCCUGAGAACUAUCAGGCUUUCUUUUAAGGUUUUCGAGAUCUGGUCAGUCUGCUGCCUCAAA